ACGUCGACGAAGAUUACUGUUAUUAACGUUACUAUAUGUUUAUCGUAAAAGGUAUGCUAGAACUGCUAGAAUAAAUAGACGUUAUUGGGUAAGGCCUAUAAUCCGUAGACGAAUUUAUGAAGGUGAUGAUCAUAAUCUUAUAAAUGAAAUACGUCUUGAUCGAGAGGAACAUAUUAAUUAUUGCGUAUGAGUAGAAAAGUUUGAUGCCUUACUACAAUGAGUGCAACCACGAAUUGAAAAAAUGUAUGUUUGCAGAGAACCAAUUUCUGUAAGGGAUCGAUUGUAUAUAACUCUUCGAUUUUUAACAUCAGGAGACUCAGUGAAUUCCUUAGCUUAUGCGUAUAGAGUAGGACGAAGUAUCGUUACAAGGAUUGUACAGGAAACCUGUGACGCAAUAUGGGACACUGCAGGAUGAAUUAUUUCAACCUUCUAGCGACAAUUGGAAAAAAAUUGCUACUCAGUUUAAAGAAUCGUGGAACUUUCCACAGUGUAUUGGUGUAAUCGAUAAACACAUCCCAAUUAAGGCUAACUGGUUGCCGAACUGUAGAGCCGUCAAUUUUUAGGCUUUCUCGUCGCAGCGCUCUUUUCGCUUGUCGUUAGUGGGCAUGAAAGGCAAGUUUAAAAAUGAAAUAUAGACGUUUUCUUAUAGAAAAUUGAAUGCUCUUUCACGUAAAAAUAUUCUUUUUUCGAUCAGAUCGGUUUUCGAUGAUGUCUGUCAGUUUUGAAAUUUUCAAAAUGGCGGCGCGCCUAAAAGGCCAGUCUCAUUUUCUUUUAAUACAGCUCGAAAUAUAGCCCCAGGUGUCUACUUUGUUACUCUAAAAGGACUUAAUGGGACACGCAUUCGUUCGUGAGUAAGAGCUCGGAAAGUGAGGCAAUGUCGCUCCGUCAGUCUGCCGACGCGCCAUCACGCUCGGUAAAGUUACUGAAUAACAAUAUUUCGGCUGGUGCACGGCCUCAAAAUAAACACAGUACUCAAUAUAAACAAAGCGCGCAGUGGUUCUGUGUCCGCAGAUCGAGCCCAAACGUCCUACCUGUGUUUAGUGUUUAAACUGUUAUUGGAACAUAACGUAACUUUACGACAACUCACGAAUAUUUGUAUUUACCAAAAAUUUACUGCAAUUAUUUCCAAUCUUAUUUUACUUACUGUGUCAGAGCAUUCUCUCACAUGACUCUAGCAGUGUAUCAUGCCCCAUCAUGAUCGGUGCAUGAAUCCCUUCAAGUUGUUGGGAGAAAAGGGACAUGUAGGGCGCAAUCUUCAGCGCCCUUCUCUGGCUUUACGCCGGAAAAUCCCUUGGAUGGAUGAGAAGCAGAUGAUUUGCUCAAAAUGCCGCAAACUGGAUGUAGAACAUUUUACUGUACCCAAACCUGAAAUUACUACUACGCCCCUGUUUUUGCCACCAGAGGAUGAUAUUA